rnacentral:rRNA from 1 species
UACAGAGGGUGCAAGCGUUGUUCGGAAUUACUGGGCGUAAAGCGCGCGCAGGCGGAUCCUGUAAGUCUGGAGUGAAAUCUCACCGCUCAACGGUGAGGCUGCUUUGGAUACUGCGGAUCUGGAGACCGGUAGAGGCUGGUAGAAUUGCAGGUGUAGCGGUGGAAUGCGUAGAGAUCUGCAAGAAUACCCGUGGCGAAGGCGGCCAUCUGGAUCAACACUGACGCUGAGGCACGAAAGCGUGGGGAGCAAACAGG